rnacentral:lncRNA from 1 species
AUGCAAGACAUCAUCUCAGGAAUGGGCAGGAAUGUCAUAGGCAUGCAGAACCAGCAAGACGUUUUACAGACUAGCAGAGCUGGUCCCAUCAUAGCAAAGCCCCGCCUGUGCUUUAGCCAAUGCAUUAACCCAACCAUGUCCCGUCUCUGCUGGCCUGGAGAUGUCUUUCAGAGAAGCCCUGUGCUCACCUCACACCAGGACCCUACACAGAAACACACACGGAUGCUUGUUGCAGUUUCAGGCUCGUGAGAGGAGAAAAUCCUGGAUGCCUGGAGUCACAGUGAUGCAGAAAAUUUAGAAUGAAUUGGAUGGAAUCUUGCUGGAAGAGCAUCCUGAAGUUAUGAAAAAGCAAAUCUAAACCUUUAAGAACAUUUCCACAAAUCAGAUUCUUCAGAAAAGAAAUUGUUAUUGCAGAAGUUUUCAUUGGCUUUUGUUAAGUAAUGUACAGGUGUCUAAAGCACAUUUUUCAUUUAGUAUUAUCUACUAUAUUCUUUUCAUCUAUUUCCCCUACCAUCUGAAGUGCCAAGUCCUAUUUCACUUUCCCUUUGCCUAUAAGCAAGCAGUUAAUCAAAAACAAACACUAAAACCACAGAGAAAUGGGAACAGUGUAGAAGAGAAAAAACUGGGCUUGCUAAGGGAGCUGAAGAGACCAGAGAAGAGGAAAAUUGGAGGCAAUCUUCUGUCCUACCACAUCCUUCAGUGCUUAUUCCAUCAUCUGUACAGAGAAAGAGAUGUAAGGUAAGGAGUCUUCAACCAAUAUGACCACUGCUCCCAAGAAGUAACAGGGGUGAGCAGACAUCUCUCUGUAAGCACUGAAGCUUGGGUGGAAAAAAAAAAAAAGCAUACAUUUCUAAAAAGUCCAAUAACUAUUGAGCCUUUCUGCUAAAAGACACAGAAGAAGAGACCCAUAAGUGGGUUGACUUGUAUGUGGACUUGCAUGUGGUUUCCACUAUGUGAGUGGAAAUAAUCAGUGAUUACUCAGAUGAAAUUAUUCCUUCUGACAGAACCAUGGCCAUCCCAGCUACAACCCUGUUAAUGCUGAAUAUUUUCUGCCCCUCCCAGACCUUUUUCCUUAGAGUCUGGAAUAUUUAGUGUAAAACUGUACAAAAGUCUGAAGGCAGAAAGCCUCCACAUAGCAGCUUUAGGAUCUUGAUGUUUGAGCCAAGGAGCUGAUGUUACAUCUGGAGGAAAAUUUGGAGGAGUAACAGCAAACAGACUUUGGGAAAAUUUCUUUCUCGUUAUCAUAGAAUCAUAGAGUGGCCUGGGUUGAAAAGGACCUCAAAGAUCAUCUUAAUUUCAACCCCUUGCCAUGGGCAGGGUUGUCAGUCACUAGACCAGGCUGCCCAGAGUCACAUUCAGCCUGGCCUUGGAUGUCUUCUGGACUGGAGCACUCACAACCUCCCUGGGCAACCUAUUCCAGUGAACAGGUUUCUCCUUGAAAGUGUUUGGUGAGUUCUGGGAUAAAUGAGGGAACAUCCACCAAACACACAGUACUCAUGCCUUACCCAUCCUCCUCUUGUCCACAGCUCUGCAAAGAGCGAGGGAUGCAAGCUCAGGUUACCCCUGCACUCAGGCAUCCUUUGAGGGAAUGGGAGGGGAAAAAACAGUCAACCUGCCUUGCAGAACAAAAUUCACAACAAAAGGAUCUGUUUAAAACUGUUUUCUGAUGUCACUCAAUUCCUUUCAUGAAAUCAUCUCUUGAUGCCUGUUGCUAUAACAACACGUUAAUCUUUUUUCACUAUUACUCAUGCAACACAAAUGCCUACAAACAGGGCACUAUUGUGAUGUUUGUAUAAAUAAAACAUAUAAAAUCCUAUAAAAUGCUCAUUUAAAAAUCUCUCUUACGUGCAGUGUCUCAAUGGGACGAAGCAUAUUUACAGAAACAUCAUUUUUUGAAGAAAAGCCAGCUCCAAUUCAUCCUGAGCUGUCUGAGUGGAAAAAAAUAAAGGAAACCAGAGAAAAGAGCAUUCUUUGAGUGAACCAGCAUUUUCUAGUGCACUUCUCUUCUUUUUUUUUUUUUCAGUAUUUCCAAAAUUCUUUUCAAGAGCUCACAUUAACCAGUUGUUUUCUGCCUUUUAAGUUUCUGCAUAGGGGGUUGCAAACUGAAGCUGAAGCAGCUUCAGAAUUGUGGUCAGUCCUAUGGCUUUCUGUGUUUGUAUGUAUUUAGGAAUGGUGAUUAAAAAGAGCAAGUGCCUUAAAGAUCAGAGUUUAUCAUUUUUUAUCUGGACAUUAUUAAGUUCAUGUCAAACAUCUGCCUCUGGUAACAUCAAAAACAAAAAGAUGUCAAUGCAGCAGGCCAUGUCAUGGAUGGGAAAUCUGCUUCAGCAGUGCUUAAUAUGCCAUUAAUGAGUGAGGACCACAAAGCUCUGGUUUGGGGGCCAGAACAAGGGGGGUUGUCCUGGACUCGGUAGCUUUUAGAUAUAGUGCAGAAGGAGGUAUAGCUGUGCCACCAGUUGGGUAUACCUUUAGUUGAUUCAAUAAAUAUUGUCUAAGUGUCAGAAGGAUAUACACGACAUUCAUGAAACAGGCACAAGCUUUCACACAGCUUAUUUAAUUUUACUUUUCUGUAAAGGGGAGCUAUGCAGUCCUGGUAAUGGGUCAUCAUGAGUCUCAGUGAAUACAGGUCCAUACGGAUGCCCACCCCUAUUACACUGGAAUUCCACCUUUCUCUAGGAGAGCAGAUCUCAGUGCUGGCAAUGAGUGUACCAGGCAUGGGACAAAUGAUAUAGGCAGACUCAGAGGUGGUGAAGGGCUACAAAGAUGGGAAAGAGACAGGAGAGCAAGGUGCACUUAUAGGCAAGUCUGACUUUAGAGGGAUGAAAGUCCCAAUAAUGUAAUGGCUUAAUUCUUUGAAAUUUCAGUCAUAGAAUUGGUGAGGUUGGAAAAGACUUUGAAGAUCAUCUGGUCCUACUGUCCACCUACCACCAAUGCUGGCCACUAAACCACAUCACUAAGUACCACUUCUCCCCUUCUCUUGAACACUUCCAGUGUCGGUGACUCCACCACCUGCCUGAGCAGCCAGUGCCUCACUGCACUAUUUGAGAAUAAAUUUUUCCUAAUAUCCAACCAGUCAGAUAGACUUGCUUCACGUUUUUAAGACAACAUUCUAGUCAGGGAUGUACAAACUAUGAAUCCUUACUUUUUUAAUAAACAGGAAAAAAAAAGGGCUAAAUCCAGAGAAACACAUUGAAUAGAUGAAAAUAUUGUUUCAUAAAAUAGUUUUAUGCUUCAAUAAAAGCAAAGAGUUCAGCUUGAGUCCCCAUGCAGUCAUAUUCGUAAAACAGAAGUGUAGGUACAGGAUCUGUGAGUCACUGUUUCUACUGGCAGGUUUCUGAAACGUGGGCUGACAGCACUUGGCACGACCAGUACGGUAUCACAACAACCAGGGUAAAUAGUUGCAGAAUCUUUUUCAGCCCUAGUUGAAGAUCAGCGAAAGCAGCUAUGGGAGAAGUGACAUUGCCUGACUGCAGUAUCUGAAAUAAAGUAUUUUUUUAAUUCUUGUUUCUGUGUCACUAUUGCUUGAGUGAGCUGUUUUCUGUUUCUUUUCAGUUAUGUGGCCUAUUAUUUUGUGAAUAAUAUUGCCAGCACUGUUAACUUCCUUAGAAACCAAGGAGGGUGGUGAGAUUUCAGUGAUGGGGGAAUAGAAGCAAAAGAUUUGUACUCAAGAGCCCAAAGCAACACAUCAGUGACCUGAGCACAAAAUAAGUUUGACUGAGCUGGGCACACUUGGGUGUACAUUUGAGUCAGAUCCUUCCUUCUCCUCCAGGCUCUACACCCACCACAGCACCUCUGCCUCUGGCUCUGACUGGCUUACAAAGUCGCCAAGGAUUUGCAGCAGUUCUUUGCUGCUACUUUAGGAGGCAGCAGGAGGAUGCAAAAUACUCCAGUGGCCCCUGCGACUUUGAAACGCUUUAUUUGUUCUGAGCUUGACGAUAGAUGGAGACUUCAUUCAUUGGGUGACUUUGUCAGCAGGAAUUUUAGUGAGUUAGGGGGGAUAGAGGUGGAGAAUGGUUCCUUCUGACAGAAGCCUGCCAGAAGAGCAUUUACUUGCAGGUCAGUCUGCAUAUUUGCAGAGGCGGGGCACAUGGGAGAUGCAGAGUUUGUGGUGAUGGGCGCCUCAUCAGCUCUCUUGGAAUUACCAGGCUGCUUCUCUUUCUGCCACAGACAUCAAAUGGUGACUGAAUCAGCUAUGCCUUACCUGAAACUCAACUAAAGGUAGCGGUGUGAAAGUAUUCAGUUCUUAUUUCCUUGAGAUUUGGUUAUCAUUGCCUCCCUGACAGUGAACAAAUCCCACCAACGCUCCUUCCUGGUCUGGUCCUCACCAAUAUACAUCCUUCUGUCAUUGGUGAAAAACACUGAAUGGAGAACGAUGCAUAAUUUCUAGGCUGUGCCUGUCAGACUUCACACACUAAUGCUCUCUGUCACUUCCCUUCCAAGUAUUUAUGAAUAUUGCUCUUUGUUUGAUGAAUUUUUUCCAUUUGCUUUUGUUAGGUUGUCACAAAAAAUUGUAACUCUCAGAAAUGUAUUACAAGU